GGAAAAGUCCAUUCCCCCGCCGCCAUCUGGCCAAAGCAGGGACAAAUAGUACUGUCUGCCAAUGACAAAAGUCCUCUCUUUUAUUGUUCUUGACCCUGAUACCCACCAUGCUGUGCAAGAGCUCCUCGUGGGGUUUUCCUGCCAAAGAAUGACAUUUAAAUCAGUGUGAAAGUGAGACUGGGAGAUGCACAAGGCUGUGUGUAAAUCUCUCUCAAUGUAUAAGUGGUGCCCGUGCCCCUGUUCAGAGACUUCAGCCCUUAAAGGAAGAAGAGGACACGUGAGUGCUGCCUCGUGCUGCACCACAAAGGCUCUGUUUCAUUGCUUUGAGUCCAGCCCUCUCUGCUCAGGUCCAACCCCAUUCUGCGAGUGCCCCAAGUUUAACCAGAAUGAAGAGUGACCGCCCUGACAGUCACUAUGAACAGACUGCAGGAAUAGAAACAGAGCGUUUCAUUCGGAUGCUCAUCAUUAUUUAAUCCAGCAACCAGUGGGCAUUAAAAUUUCAUUUCGUCAGAACGUGUCUUUCUUUGGGUGCUGUCCCAAAUCCUUCCCGUCUCCCGUUGGUUCGGUGACACUGUGCCCACGCGCAGUUAUUCCCUGGGGCUCAGCAUGCUUGUGGAAGCAGCGACCAUCAGCGGGUACCGCUCUGAACCAUCCAUUUUUCUCCUGGCUUCCCAAAUCGCUGCUCCAAAGCAGUUCCAGGGAGCUGAUACUCGUGUUUUUAAACCAUUAUGUUUCCUCCCAUUUGUAAGCAUCUCUGAGCCAGAAAUCAUUCAGCGGCUGCUGCUGCUGCAUCCUUCAGGGACAAAAUGUUCUAAAGAGCUAAUGUUGCUCUUUCAUUAAGAAACCUAUUCAGAGCCACAGAGAGCGAUUUUGACAGUGCAACUGGUAGUUGCUCUAGGGUAGGAGCUUGACAGGAGACCUAUUUUCAGCUAAAUGAAUGUAUACUGUUUAUUUAAAGAAACAGUCAGCUGCCGGUUUGGGUAUGCCUGAGAACAUCCCUGUGUGUCUCCUGCACUCUGCAUCCCCAGGCUGCACUUCUUAUGCCUUGAGAUGGCAACAAAACGGCUGGUAUGUCUUAGUGGGGUCAGGUUGGGGGGGGAGCAGGAAGAGAGGGGUACUCAGUGCGCUGGGGAAGGGCAUGGAGGUUAGAAGCAACAGCACAGAUGGGCUGCUUGCUAAGGCAAAUGAGGGCACACUGUUUGAUACUGCAGUUCUUCUGGUGGCAAAGCUGGCUUUAAAACAUUCCCUUCCAUUGCUGCUGGGCACUGUGACUUGCUUUUGCUGAAAGAUAAACAACAACAAGAGCAUUUCAUGGUGGGAACGGGCAGCGCAUUACUGUUUGGCUUCCCUAUGGAGAAUCGGGGAGGAGGAGGAUGGAUGCACGGCCCCACGCUAUGCCAGUGUUACUGACAGCCCCUCUUAGAAAGGUGUGCUGUCUCAUUAACGUGAGAUGGCACAAAAACAGAGCAUUGUUAUCAGCGCUUCUCAUCUGUUAUAAGUGCCGCUGCGCAGGUAAUUGCGGAUGUUCAAAAUUAGAUCUCCUGGUAGUGCUACUGAACACAUGCUUGUGGCUGAGCACAGUGUUCUGUGCAAGCUGGAGAUCAAAGGCAGGCUGGGCUUGAUUGGAAACCAAUUAUCUACUGCUGUGGGGACCUUUGAGAACUAACAGGAUUUUUAUUUCCUUUAUCCUUUGAUCCCCAAAAUGAGCAAUAUAAGGAUAAGGAAAAAUAGAACAAAAGAACAGAUGUACCAAGCAACACGUGGAUGGGGAAAGGAGGAAUCAGCCCAUAGGCUGCUUGGAUAGAUUAGAAGAAUCCAGUUGCUGGGUUAGAAGAUCCCAAGGAGCUACAAGCAUCACCAACAUAUCUUUCAGCUCAGUAUAUAUCUUUCAGCUCAGUAUCUUUGUGGCUCAUAACAUCGACACAGAGCUGCUGCGUGGGUUUACUGUAGGUCACAGGAUCACAGAAUGGCUUGAGUUGGAAGGGACCUUACACAUCACCCAGUUCCAGCCCCUGCUGUGGGCUGGAUGCCCCUGCUAGAACAGGUUGCCCAUAGGAAGGAGUUGUCUGGUCUCACACACAGCAGGAAUUACAGUGUUACUUGUGCAGUUGAUGCUACUUAAGGUGCCACUCCUGCAGCAGCAUGUCGCUGCACCUUUGAUCUCCUUAUUGCCUCAUUUCUUUAGCCUUUCUUCUCCUCUUUUCCUGGCUCACCUUCAUACCCCAUGCAUGCUUCACGGCUCCAGCUCUCAUUUGCCAUUUCCAAUGCUGCCCGCAGACUGUAACCACGGGAAGCAGCUGCAGAGCCACUUCUGUAGCAUCUCACCCACUUCUAUGGCCCUGUUACCUUAAUUUUAGUUUUGCUGUCCGGGGUCAGUCCUUGUACUGAGGCAAUUAACACUGAGCAUCUGAAAUCCGAUCGGGAUUUAAAGCACAGGGUGAGUGGUCGCCACCUGGUGAGAGGAGGAGGAGGGAGGGCAGGAUGAAUGAGUGGGACCUUUUCCUUUCUCAUCCGGCGCGCAUUAGCGGAUCAAUGACUGAAAUGGAUGAGGGUGCUGCCGGAGUGUCACGGCAGCGUAAUGAUGUAGCUGCUAUUAAUGGCCGGAGCUCCAGCCCGGAAAUUAUAGUGGAAGAAACAGAGAAAAAUAUAUAUAUCUAAGGGCUCUGAAUUGGUGAUUUGAGGAUCGUAAUUUAGAGCUUGCUUUCGUAUCUCAGAAAGUGGCUACUGUGCACAUUUUCAGAAGUUUGCCAGUUAGUUAAAGAAGGAGUAAAGUCAAUACAGUGUGGGUGGUCACGAUUCUCCUUCCAUUCCCUCCCUAAGGUACGACACGAAUGUCAGCAAUGUGGCUCUCCUUUAAGUCAAAACCUAUUUCAUGCUGUUUGCAGUGAGGAAAUGUACCUUCAGCCCUCUGGCUGUCCGGAUUGAGAGCAGACAUGUGCAAAAUAUUAUAGUUUAUAAGGCCUGUGAACUCAGCGUACUUCAAGAUCAAAUUCCCAUUACAGUGAAAUCAUUGGCAAAACCGUGGUUACCUCCAGGCAAAGGCUGCAGAACCUGUUCACCGCUGGGCAGAUGUGCAGCUUAUCCAUCCUCCAAGAGGGGCAGCAGGAGUGGGAGUGGGCACAGAAGUGUCUUUAAAUCACCACGGCAGUGUGAGAUAGGGCAUGUACUCGCUCAGGAGCUCUUCUAUGGAUGGAUUCCUGCAGUGGGAUGUCCUGUCAAUGAGAAGGUUACAGGAGCCCAGCGCAACUUUAUCUAACAUCUAUAUUUUCUAGAUGAGAAAAUGGAGCAAAAUGACAAGUUCUGGGUUUGUCUCAGUGCUUAUGGGCUCUCCUUACGUCCUUGGGAGCUCUGUGCAUCACAGCUCUGAGGCAUAAUGUGUUCCUGGAAGGACAAAUACUGCCAGAGUCAGGAGGUUCAGAGACUGCGCUGGGGGAGUGUGAGGUGUUUUAGGAAAGCUUGGAGGCAGUCAGUGUGAGACUUCAGAGGUGAGGAAACUCCCAGCUGUCCAUCAGCAGACAGGAUGCCCAACUGGAGCCCAGGCACAGCAGCUGCACACGCUCUGCCCUUCACUUGAGUAGCUUGGUUUCAUUGAUUGACCAGUGUCUCGAGCUCUGAUAUUGAGCUCUGCUCGCCGCGGUCUCAGGUUGUACGCUUCCUUUAACUGCCGUGUGGAGGAAAAUGCUGAUUAGAUUGCCUUGCUCAUUGAUGGUUUUUUCUUCUGGCUCUGAUUAUGCAGAAUAAAACUACUAAAUAGGACAAUAGAAAGUCAAUCAAACAUUGUAAAAGACAAACUAAAGACCUAUUCUGUAAAUCUUCCCUUAUUUCUCUCUUUCUUUUUAUGUCUCUGUAAACUCACCUGCCUCUAUUUACAUUCAAGAUAUACAAACAAGAUAAUUUUAAACUCCUUUAUGGGAGUUAAUUCCACCAUACUUGGUGUAUCUAGAGAAAAUCCAGCCAGAAUAUGGAUUUUUGUUGUCAGACCCACUGUUAGGAGAUGAAUUAUUCAUCUUCAUUUGUACUUGCAAUUUAUGGAUUUUUAAUUAAUAGUGAAGAUAAUACCCAACAAUUAUUGUGCGUCUUUCUGGCCUUUUCCAUGCAACACAGGGUCUGGAAAAAUGAGGCAGAGCAUAUCCAACGAGAUUCAGCAAAAUCUAACUAGGAGAAAUCAUUCCUUCUGACACUGUGCAAUUCUCAGUGUUGGUUUCAUUUUGGAAAAUUAAUGUAAGUCUAACAUGUAGAGUUUGCAACUGCAAGGAAAGAAGCACGGAACCAACAUGGCGGUCCCAGCUUCAUUACCUCUAAAGGGG
ensembl:lncRNA